UGGACACUGGAGAGAGAGCUUUU
rnacentral:miRNA from 1 species